rnacentral:rRNA from 1 species
GAUCAUGGCUCAGGAUGAACGCUGGCGGCGUGCCUAACACAUGCAAGUCGAGCGAAGCACUUUGCUUAGAUUCUUCGGAUGAAGAGGAUUGUGACUGAGCGGCGGACGGGUGAGUAACGCGUGGGUAACCUGCCUCAUACAGGGGGAUAACAGUUAGAAAUGACUGCUAAUACCGCAUAAGACCACAGCACCGCAUGGUGCGGGGGUAAAAACUCCGUGU